rnacentral:rRNA from 1 species
GACGAACGCUGGCGGCGUGCCUAAUACAUGCAAGUAGAACGCUGAAGGAGGAGCUUGCUUCUCUGGAUGAGUUGCGAACGGGUGAGUAACGCGUAGGUAACCUGCCUGGUAGUGGGGGAUAACUAUUGGAAACGAUAGCUAAUACCGCAUAAUAGCAGUUGUUGCAUGAUAACUGUUUGAAAGGUGCAAUUGCACCGCUACCAGAUGGACCUGCGUUGUAUUAGCUAGUUGGUGGGGUAACGGCUCACCAAGGCGACGAUACAUAGCCGACCUGAGAGGGUGAUCGGCCACACUGGGACUGAGACACGGCCCAGACUCCUACGGGAGGCAGCAGUAGGGAAUCUUCGGCAAUGGACGGAAGUUUGACCGAGCAACGCCGCGUGAGUGAAGAAGGUUUUCGGAUCGUAAAGCUCUGUUGUAAGAGAAGAACGAGUGUGAGAGUGGAAAGUUCACACUGUGACGGUAUCUUACCAGAAAGGGACGGCUAACUACGUG